rnacentral:rRNA from 1 species
GCCUAACACAUGCAAGUCGAACGGAGCUUAGAGAGCUUGCUUUUUAAGCUUAGUGGCGAACGGGUGAGUAACGCGUGAGUAACCUGCCCUAGAGUGGGGGACAACAGUUGGAAACGACUGCUAAUACCGCAUAAGCCCACGGUACCGCAUGGUACUGAGGGAAAAGGAUUUAUUCGCUUUAGGAUGGACUCGCGUCCAAUUAGCUAGUUGGUGAGGUAACGGCCCACCAAGGCGACGAUUGGUAGCCGGACUGAGAGGUUGAACGGCCACAUUGGGACUGAGACACGGCCCAGACUCCUACGGGAGGCAGCAGUGGGGGAUAUUGCACAAUGGGGGGAACCCUGAUGCAGCGACGCCGCGUGGAGGAAGAAGGUUUUCGGAUUGUAAACUCCUGUCGUUAGGGACGAUAAUGACGGUACCUAACAAGAAAGCACCGGCUAACUACGUGCCAGCAGCCGCGGUAAAACGUAGGGUGCAAGCGUUGUCCGGAAUUACUGGGUGUAAAGGGAGCGCAGGCGGGAAGACAAGUUGGAAGUGAAAACCAUGGGCUCAACCCAUGAAUUGCUUUCAAAACUGUUUUUCUUGAGUAGUGCAGAGGUAGAUGGAAUUCCCGGUGUAGCGGUGGAAUGCGUAGAUAUCGGGAGGA